rnacentral:misc_RNA from 1 species
UUUCCGUAGGUGAACCUGCGGAAGGAUCAUUGUCGAAUGCCUGUAGAAUGCCGGUGGACAUGUGGAAUUGUUGGAACGCAUGCGGGGGGUGCAUGGGGGAGUAUCCCCAUCACUGAUGUGUGGUCCUUGGGGAUCCAUUUGGGAGCCCUGUGUAAAUCCUCUGCUCACACACUCGAAUCGGUAGAGAACGUGCCAAGGAAUCCCUAUGACAAAAUCUCACUGCCCCCUCACCAAGGAUUCGGGGAGGUGGAUUGUGGAAUCAUGACAUAACGACUCUCGACAAUGGAUAUCUUGGCUCCCGUAACGAUGAAGAAUGCAGCGAAAUGCGAUACAUGGUGUGAAUUGCAGAAUCUCGUGAAUCAUUUGGUUUUUGAACGCAAGUUGCGCCUGAAGCCAUUUUUUGGUGGAGGGCACACCUGCUUGGGUGCCAUGCAUGGAGUUGCCCCGGGACCUCCUCUGGUAGGAGACUUGUUUAUUUGGUUGGUUUUGAGAGAGGAGGGACCAUUGGGGUUGAUGUUGGUCUUCCGUUCUGUGGUGUGCGGUUGAUUGAAAUUUAAGGUCCCAUGUGACAUGCGUCGAGACGAGUUGGGGAAGACAACGUUUGUCCCAUGUUUGUUGGUGAACCAACUCUGGUCCUAAGGUCCCUUUGACACUUUCACGGAGAGGCCAUCUAGGCUGC